UGUAUCGGAAGCCUGACGAGGAUGAGAACCUCCGGGGGCAAGAGGUUCGACUCGAGCGCAGCGAGAGAAUGUUGCGUCAGCAACGGCCCGCAGGGCGAGCCACGCAGUGGCGAGUCAUCCUCUAUCACCGACCA
rnacentral:sRNA from 1 species